rnacentral:sRNA from 1 species
GAACUCGAUUCCGAUUACCGCAGGUCUCUCGGACUAGUUGAGAGGGGCAAUGGGAACAGCAAUCACUUUCGAAUUCCUUCAGCCCAAAGCACAACCGCGGGUCCACCGGGACUCUCCGACAUAGCUCGAGCCAAAAGGGAAUUGUAGCCCAGGCAAGAAGGGCGGUGCAUAUCUGCAAGUAAACAAAACUCGGGGUUCUGUACGAUUGGCCGGGGUCUUACAUGCUCGCCGAAUUGGAUUUGAGAAUCAAUCUUCCGACGGGUCUCCUGACUUGAACAGGGGAAAGGGGGAGGGGGAGUGUGUUAUCUUGUCGCGAACCAAUAA